rnacentral:rRNA from 1 species
AGAGUUUGAUCCUGGCUCAGGAUGAACGCUGGCGGCGUGCCUAAUACAUGCAAGUCGAACGCAACACUUCGGUGUUGAGUGGCGAACGGGUGAGUAAUACAUAAGUAACCUGCCCUAACGAGGGGGAUAACUAUUGGAAACGAUAGCUAAAACCGCAUAGGUAUAGUCAUCGCAUGGAGACUGUAUUAAAUAUCCUACGGGAUAGCGAGAGGAUGGACUUAUGGCGCAUUAGCUAGUUGGUGAGGUAACGGCUCACCAAGGCGACGAUGCGUAGCCGACCUGAGAGGGUGGACGGCCACACUGGGACUGAGACACGGCCCAGACUCCUACGGGAGGCAGCAGUAGGGAAUUUUCGGCAAUGGGCGAAAGCCUGACCGAGCAACGCCGCGUGAGGGAAGAAGUAUUUCGGUAUGUAAACCUCUGUUAUAAAGGAAGAACGGUAUGUGUAGGGAAUGACACAUAAGUGACGGUACUUUAUUAGAAAGCCACGGCUAACUACGUGCCAGCAGCCGCGGUAAUACGUAGGUGGCGAGCGUUAUCCGGAAUCAUUGGGCGUAAAGAGGGAGCAGGCGGCAAUUAAGGUCUGCGGUGAAAGGCUGAAGCUAAACUUCAGUAAGCCGUGGAAACCGAAUAGCUAGAGUGCAGUAGAGGAUCGUGGAAUUCCAUGUGUAGCGGUGAAAUGCGUAGAUAUAUGGAGGAACACCAGUGGCGAAGGCGACGAUCUGGGCUGUAACUGACGCUCAGUCCCGAAAGCGUGGGGAGCAAAUAGGAUUAGAUACCCUAGUAGUCCACGCCGUAAACGAUGAGUACUAAGUG